AAAGGGUCGCGGCAUUAGGAAGGUUGAGAACUACUGGUCUAGAUAGAAGUAAAGUGCUGAGGAGGUUUAGGAUGAUUAAAUUACUCAUAAGUUGGGGUAUCCUGGACUGCUUCCUGGAGGAAGUGGCCUAUGCUUUGUAUCUUAAAAAAUAGGAUGAGGGGCAUUGGAAAUGUGGUGAGUCAUGGGGCCGGGAGGAUGGAAGUACCCAUGGCAUUUAAGUCAUAGGCUGUCGAACUUGCGGUCCUCAUUCAGGGAAAUGAUUUGGACCCCAGGGUGUGUGACUGGGAGGAGUAUAAGAAGCGACUGAAGGAGGAGGCUUGAAGCUAUGUCACAAGACCCUUAGAUAAAGGACUCUGGACUUAACUUUAGACAAUGGAAGGCAUUAAAAUGCUCUUGAGCAGAGAAGGGACAUUAAGGUUCUCCUAUACAAAGAUGGCUCUGGCCAAAGUGUGGAGAGUGGGUUGUAGGAUUUGAAGGCAGAGAGCCCAGUUAGGAGGUUCAAGCCAGUAGGAGGUUCCUCAGUGACAGGUGUAGGCUGAUACUCUCCCGGAAGCACCUGCCCAGAACCAGCUCACCUGGGCACUGACUGCGCACUGUCCAGUGAUCCAAGUUUAGUGGAAACCUGCCUUCCCUUUCAUGUACCCGCUGUGGCCUAGAGUCUAAGGAAUCAUUGUGAUGUUGACCAUAUUUACCUUCCAAGCCUCAUUUCCACCUUUCAGAUCAGCCCUCAAAUCUGCAGCCAAAUCUUAGCUCAUUGCAGGCUUGAUUUACUCACUCUUGCCCCUCAGGCUCCUCUCUGAGAGAGAGAGAGAGAGAGGAGAGAGAGAGAGAGAGAGAGAGAGUUUUCUUAACUCUGCAGAGCAGGCUGUGCCCUAUCAUGUUCUGAAGAAAUGAUGAACAAUGUCUCCUUUGUUGACCUGCAACCUGGGCCAAUGGGAUAGUACUUUGUUUUGUUAUUUUAAAGAGAUGGAAAAGUGAUGAUGACAGAAAAUUGUCUGUUGCUUUUGAAAAUGGUGGUGUUUUCCUGUGUGUUUGAAAUCCUCUUGGUGAAAGGUGAUGAGCCUGUGAAGUUACCCUCCUUUCUGCUUUGCAGACGUUUUAGGCUUCUUAAAAUGCUUCUGCUCAGCAUCCGACUUUUUAAAAACUGCCUAAAUACUCUGACCCAGAUUCUUCCAAGGAACUAAACUCUUCCAGGGAGGCAUGUUAACCCUUUCUAGGUUCCCCCAAAUUUAUGAGAGUCAGUAACUUCCUCCAGGAAGUUCUGCUAUUGACUGCUGUCUGCUCUUGGGCCCUAAUUAACUAGCUGGGUAUACCAUUCCUGUCCUUUCUAGCCUAAAAGUCUUUUAUUUUUGGUCUAACUUCCAUCUCCUCAGGAUUGGGCACCCUGAAGGUGCAUGGCGAAUGUUGAAUGAGUGUUGAAUAUAGUCAAGUUAGGGUCUCACUGCAGUGCCUACAGCAGCCUCCUCAGUCAGUUAAUCAGCAACUUGUUUCUGGCUACUUUCAGAGUGCUUAGAUUGGGAGAAUGAGCAACUAACUCUCUCUCUCUCUCUCUCUCUCUCUCUCACACACACACACACACACACACACACACACACACACACACACACCACACUUUUAGAUAGAGGGGUCAGUUAAGUAACCAAAAAUUUGCCAUGAAUUUGUGUUUGGGCCAAACAAACAAAGAUAAAAACCAACCCAGGAAGUUGUGGCCCUCCACCCUAACUGUUUAAGAAGAAAGCUUCUUUGCAAAUGUGCUCACAGACUAUUUUUCAGUAUCCUUUUCCUGGGCAGCGAAAAUAGCACCACGUUCACACACUCUCCACCCCUUUCUCAAAUGGAGAAUUAAGCUCCUAAACUCGAGAAAAGACUUUGGCUUUGGAAGGCUCCUCUUAGAUCGCAACGGCCUUUAUUUUUCAGUCAUCCCCCUUUCUCACCCAAAGCAGAGAGAAUAUUGGACCGUGUUCAUCAGCGGUCACGUCUUUGAUCCCACUGUGAGACCAGCAACUCACAAGGCAUCUUUGCUACUGUAUCAUGCCCCGUUAUUAGGACCAGAGGCUGCUGUUUCCUCUUUCCCCUUUUCUGCCCCCAAGAAGGGCUAUUCUCUGUCUUAUUGCUUCACCUGUUUGCUUUAAACCUUAAAACAAAUAAUGCAGCUACAUGUAGUGAGACUCCCCUUUGUCCUGGAGUAUCUGAAUGAUUUGUGGGUUUGGUUUAAAGCUGCAGAAAGGAGAGAGAGCGAGAGAAGAAGAAAAAAGAUUCCCUGCAGCCUGCCAGAGACGUGGUCGCUGCCCUGCCAAGAGCUAUCUGGGAGAGCUAUUGAAAGAGCCUUGAACAUUUCCUGAAUACCCCCUACAGGCCAUGCACUGUGUGACGUGCUGGAGAAAUAGAGACAAGGCCACAGUUCCGUGACACUAAUGUGACUUGUGCCUAAGGAGAGGUGUUGCUGGAGUUUGGGGUGAAUAAGACGGACAUAGCCCCUGGCCUCGUGGCGUUUAUGAUCCACAGGGAAGAGAAACCUGUUAUGAUGGAGUUCAAGGAAAUGUGGUGAGCUAUAUUCGUUCUCCCAUGGUCCUCCAUGCCUCAUGGUCCACCUGGCCCAGGACUGGAUGGCUCCUUGGUACCUGAGAUAUCCUUGUCUUGCAUUUAUCCGUGCCUUCAUUUGCAAACAUUUGCUAAACCCCAUGUUAUGUGUCAUGUUGAAUGAAUUGUGUCCCAGACUCUGUGCUAA